GAUGAACGCUGGCGGCGUGCCUAAUACAUGCAAGUCGAGCGAACAGACGAGGAGCUUGCUCCUCUGACGUUAGCGGCGGACGGGUGAGUAACACGUGGAUAACCUACCUAUAAGACUGGGAUAACUUCGGGAAACCGGAGCUAAUACCGGAUAAUAUAUUGAACCGCAUGGUUCAAUAGUGUAAGACGGUUUUGCUGUCACUUAUAGAUGGAUCCGCGCCGCAUUAGCUAGUUGGUAAGGUAACGGCUUACCAAGGCAACGAUGCGUAGCUGACCUGAGAGGGUGAUCGGCCACACUGGAACUGCGACACGGUCCAGACUCCUACGGGAGGCAGCAGUAGGGAAUCUUCCGCAAUGGGCGGAAGCUUGACGGAGCAACGCCGCGUGAGUGAUGAAGGUCUUCGGAUCGUAAAACUCUGUUAUUAGGGAAGAACAAAUGUGUAAGUAACUAUGCACGGCAUGACGGUACCUAAUCGGAAAGCCACGGCUAACUACGUG
rnacentral:rRNA from 1 species